AACGAGCGCUGGCGGCAUGCCUAACACAUGCAAGUCGAACGAGACCUUCGGGUCUAGUGGCGCACGGGUGCGUAACGCGUGGGAACCUGCCCUUAGGUUCGGAAUAACUCCCCGAAAGGGGUGCUAAUACCGGAUAAUGUCUUCGGACCAAAGAUUUAUCGCCUUUGGAUGGGCCCGCGUUGGAUUAGCUAGUUGGUAGGGUAAAAGCCUACCAAGGCGACGAUCCAUAGCUGGUCUGAGAGGAUGAUCAGCCACACUGGGACUGAGACACGGCCCAGACUCCUACGGGAGGCAGCAGUGGGGAAUAUUGGACAAUGGGCGAAAGCCUGAUCCAGCAAUGCCGCGUGAGUGAUGAGGGCCUUAGGGUUGUAAAGCUCUUUUACCCGGGAUGAUAAUGACAGUACCGGGAGAAUAAGCUCCGGCUAACUCCGUG
rnacentral:rRNA from 1 species